rnacentral:misc_RNA from 1 species
UUUCCGUAGGUGAACCUGCGGAAGGAUCACUAAAGAGAACUGCCUUCGGGCUAAUCUCCCACCCUUUGUUUACAUUACCUUUGUUGCUUUGGCAGGCCGCCUUUUAGGCUCCCGGCUCCGGCUGGGGAGUGUCUGCCAGAGGACCCCAACUCUUUUGUUUAAAUGUCGUCUGAGUACUAUAUAAUAAGUUAAAACUUUCAACAACGGAUCUCUUGGUUCUGGCAUCGAUGAAGAACGCAGC